CCGUGGCUCAGCUGGUAGAGCAGCUGAUUCGUAAUCAGCAGGUCGCCGGUUCGAAUCCGGCCGG
rnacentral:tRNA from 1 species